rnacentral:rRNA from 1 species
GUGAUGAAAGACGGUUUCGGCUGUCACUUACAGAUGGACCCGCGGCGCAUUAGCUAGUUGGUGGGGUAAUGGCUCACCAAGGCGACGAUGCGUAGCCGACCUGAGAGGGUGAUCGGCCACACUGGGACUGAGACACGGCCCAGACUCCUACGGGAGGCAGCAGUAGGGAAUCUUCCGCAAUGGACGAAAGUCUGACGGAGCAACGCCGCGUGAGUGAUGAAGGUUUUCGGAUCGUAAAGCUCUGUUGUUAGGGAAGAACAAGUGCGAGAGUAACUGCUCGCACCUUGACGGUACCUAACCAGAAAGCCACGGCUAACUACGUGCCAGCAGCCGCGGUAAUACGUAGGUGGCAAGCGUUGUCCGGAAUUAUUGGGCGUAAAGGGCUCGCAGGCGGUUUCUUAAGUCUGAUGUGAAAGCCCCCGGCUCAACCGGGGAGGGUCAUUGGAAACUGGGAAACUUGAGUGCAGAAGAGGAGAGUGGAAUUCCACGUGUAGCGGUGAAAUGCGUAGAGAUGUGGAGGAACACCAGUGGCGAAGGCGACUCUCUGGUCUGUAACUGACGCUGAGGAGCGAAAGCGUGGGGAGCGAACAGGAUUAGAUACCCUGGUAGUCCACGCCGUAAACGAUGAGUGCUAAGUGUUAGGGGGUUUCCGCCCCUUAGUGCUGCAGCUAACGCAUUAAGCACUCCGCCUGGGGAGUACGGUCGCAAGACUGAAACUCAAAGGAAUUGACGGGGGCCCGCACAAGCGGUGGAGCAUGUGGUUUAAUUCGAAGCAACGCGAAGAACCUUACCAGGUCUUGACAUCCUCUGACAACCCUAGAGAUAGGGCUUUCCCUUCGGGGACAGAGUGACAGGUGGUGCAUGGUUGUCGUCAGCUCGUGUCGUGAGAUGUUGGGUUAAGUCCCGCAACGAGCGCAACCCUUGAUCUUAGUUGCCAGCAUUUAGUUGGGCACUCUAAGGUGACUGCCGGUGACAAACCGGAGGAAGGUGGGGAUGACGUCAAAUCAUCAUGCCCCUUAUGACCUGGGCUACACACGUGCUACAAUGGACAGAACAAAGGGCUGCGAGACCGCAAGGUUUAGCCAAUCCCAUAAAUCUGUUCUCAGUUCGGAUCGCAGUCUGCAACUCGACUGCGUGAAGCUGGAAUCGCUAGUAAUCGCGGAUCAGCAU